rnacentral:misc_RNA from 1 species
GAUGAAGAACGUAGCGAAAUGCGAUAAGUAGUGUGAAUUGCAGAAUUCAGUGAAUCAUCGAAUCUUUGAACGCACAUUGCGCCCUUUGGUAUUCCAAAGGGCAUGCCUGUUCGAGCGUCAUUUGUACCCUCAAGCUUUGCUUGGUGUUGGGCGUCUUGUCUCUAGCUUUGCUGGAGACUCGCCUUAAAGUAAUUGGCAGCCGGCCUACUGGUUUCGGAGCGCAGCACAAGUCGCACUCUCUAUCAGCAAAGGUCUAGCAUCCAUUAAGCCUUUUUUUCAACUUUUUACCUCGGAUCAGGUAGGGAUACCCGCUGAACUUAAGCAUAUCAAUAAGCGGAGGA